rnacentral:lncRNA from 1 species
AGGUCCCUCCGGAUAGAAGCAAGAGAAAGUAUUUUUCACUUUGACCAUGACUAUGGCCAUAACACCAAAAAAUAUCACCAGCUCAAGGACAAAAUCGAGACCUUGGUCUAGAGAUGUUACCUCAGCAAGUAUGUUUAAAAGUAGCAAAAUCAAGCAUCCGGUGAAGAAAAUAAUGGCAAUCAACCCACACUGGCAUCAUCAAUGCUAUUUUUACCUCCACCGAUGGCAUGG